GUUUGCCACUUUGACCCAGAUGCCUGCUUGAGGAUGAGAACAGCUGGGCGUGUUCUUUUCCUUGGCUCCUGCGCUGAGGUUAUCCACACACCUGCAUCUCAUCACAAUCACCUGCCUGCAGAAAAUCAACCCUGAGUAUCAAUAUGGAUUUUGGACACCCCUGCCCACCUGCCUGCCUCGCUCUGGUCUGCUCUCAACAUAGCCACUAGCUGCCUGGAUUGGAUUCACUUCUCUGGCCCCCAACACUCCGAAGAGGAUUGUACAUUCCAUCUCUGUAAUAAAACUCACUUUUGAAACACAUAUUUUUAAA